rnacentral:rRNA from 1 species
CCCUUAGAUGUCCUGGGCCGCACGCGCGUUACACCGAUGCAUUCAACGAGCUUAUAACCUUGGCCGAGAGGCCUGGGCAAUCUUGUUAACGUGCAUCGUGAUAGGGAUAGAUUAUUGAAAUUAUUAAUCUUGAACGAGGAAUUCCUAGUAAACGCAGAUCAUCAAUCUGCAUUGAUUACGUCCCUGCCCUUUGUACACACCGCCCGUCGCACCUACCGAUUGGAUGGUCCGGUGAAGCCUCGGGAUUGUGGUUCUUGCCGCUUUAUUGUGGCGUGACCGCGAGAACUUGUCUAAACCUUAUCGUCUAGAGGAAGGUGAAGUCGUAACA